CCCUACUAUGCCUAGCCUUAAAAUAACAUAAAAUAACAAAUUGUUCGCCAAAUAACUACGAGUGAAAACUUAAAAUUUAAAAGACUUGACGGUACUUCACACCAACCUAGAGGAGCCUGUCCAAUAACCGAUAAUCCACGAUUAACCCAACCCAACCUAGCCUAAUACCCACAGUCUAUAUACCGCCGUCGCCAGCAUACCUUGUGAAAGAAAAAUAGUAAGCAAAAUAGCACACACUAAUACGACAGGUCGAGGUGUAACUCAUGGUUGGGCAUAAGAUGGGCUACAUUUUCUAACACAGAAUAAACGGACAUACCUUGAAACAGGGAACUGAAGGAGGAUUUAGCAGUAAGAUAAGAACAUAAUGCUUACCCGAAAUCUGCAAUGAAGUACGUACACACCGCCCGUCAUCCCUGCAAGAACAUAACAUAAUAAAUAAAACAACAAAACCUAUUAAAACA
rnacentral:rRNA from 1 species